UCGUGUCGUGAGAUGUUCGGGUUAAGUCCCGCAACGAGCGCAACCCUCGACCUUAGUUGCCAGCAUUCAGUUGGGCACUCUAAGGUGACUGCCGGCUAAAAGUCGGAGGAAGGUGGGGAUGACGUCAAAUCAUCAUGCCCCUUAUGACCUGGGCUACACACGUGCUACAAUGGGCGGUACAAAGGGUCGCGAACCCGCGAGGGGGAGCCAAUCCCAAAAAGCCGCUCUCAGUUCGGAUUGCAGGCUGCAACUCGCCUGCAUGAAGCCGGAAUCGCUAGUAAUCGCGGAUCAGCAUGCCGCGGUGAAUACGUUCCCGGGCCUU
rnacentral:rRNA from 1 species